rnacentral:rRNA from 1 species
AUUCCAGCUCCAAUAGCGUAUAUUAAAGUUGUUGCAGUUAAAAAGCUCGUAGUUGGAUUUCUGGUGCAUUCCACUGGCCUAUUGGUUAACUCCAACUUGGCUCAUUUGGAAUACGCCAUCUUUAGGCAGACCCGUCGUGGCAUUAGGUUGUCGUGAUGGUUACGCCUAUCGUUUACUGUGAAGAAAUUAGGGUGUUCAAAGCAGGCUUAUGCCAUGAAUACGUUAGCAUGGAAUAAUGAGAUAGGAUUUCGGUACUAUCUUGUUGGUUUGUGUACGGAAAUAAUGAUUAACAGGAACAGUGUUGUGGGUAUUCGUAUUUCGUUGUCAGAGGUGAAAUUCUUGGAUUUACGAAAGACGAACGACUGCGAAAGCAUUUACCAAGGAUGUUUUCAUUG